rnacentral:lncRNA from 1 species
AACAUACCGAGAUAAUAGUCUUCAUAAUUCAAUUUUGAAAUGAAAUCCAUGAGCAAAUAUCAAAGCCGUUUUGAGGUUAGAUAAGUUAUGUUGUACGGUUAAAUGGCUGAAGGGAGAAGUGAAACUAAAAUUUAAAAGUACCUUUUGGUCUCCAUGGAGUAUGUUGGAUUAGGCCGCGUUUGACUCCAGAUCUGCGAUCUGGAUCCAUUCAAAAUAUGUCUGUAUCGAGAUAUUUUGGUGGAAUUUAAGAUCAAAACGAAUCAGAGUGAGUGUGAGAGCGAGAUGCAAGAGACACAAGGUGAGGGGAGAACCCGGGCUUAAAAAAUAUCCCCGUGCGAACUCCCCUCACAACAACACGAAACUAUUUUUUUUAUUAGAGAUUUUUUUUGGUGACCUGCCAUGCAAGCGCACCUGUCAUGGCAAAGGUCGGAUGACAAAGAUGCUUAAUCAGAACUCAAGCCAACUCAUCGGGGCUUUUUCGUCCUUAACAAACAUCUCAUACAUCCUUCAUACUCAUUUCACAUAUAUUCCUCCCUCCUUUAGCUCUUCGACUCUUCUUCAAUCGCUCCUCUCC